UACGGGGGGGGGCAAGCGUUGUUCGGAAUUACUGGGCGUAAAGGGCUCGUAGGCGGCCAACUAAGUCGAACGUGAAAUCCCUCAGCUUAACUGGGGAACUGCGUCCGAUACUGAUUGGCUUGAAUCCGGAAGAGGGAUGCGGAAUUCCAGGUGUAGCGGUGAAAUGCGUAGAUAUCUGGAGGAACACCGGUGGCGAAGGCGGCAUCCUGGACCGGCAUUGACGCUGAGGCGCGAAAGCUAGGGGAGCAAACGGGGAUUAAGAA
rnacentral:rRNA from 1 species